rnacentral:lncRNA from 1 species
UUUGCCUACUUUAUUUCAUUUUUUCAAAUAAAAUUUCAAUCUGUACAAAGUAUACUGUUACAGUAUAUAUUUUGUAAGAAUCAAUGCCUAAAAGAAUCACAAUACUUCAAUAAGCAGUACAGCAGACCUCGCUAGUUUCAGCUUUGAUAUUGAACAAACUCAAGCCGGCUGAUGCACAACACAUUUGCUUGGUUUCCACAUGGUGAGUUCCCAGCACUGAGAUGGGAGAACAUGACAGCAAAUAUGGUUAUAUUACAGCCCAACACACGCGCUUCUUCAUAUGAUAAUAUCUGCACAUAUGCAAUACAGAAUGCUCAAAUUUACUUUUUAAAUUGCAUUUGCUUACUUUUUAGUUGGCAAAAUUCAACAUUCUUGAAUGGGGUCCCCAAACAGUGCAAAGUAAUGAUAUUCUACUAUAUAUUGGCACAUUUCCAAUAAGGAUUAACUUGUAAACUCAAAGAAUAUCAACAACUUCAUCCUAAAUUUUAACUAAUGUACAUCUGGUCCAUUUAACCAAAGUCAUUUUGGAAAGAUAUUAAAGAACAAUUCUAUUUCUGAAAGGAUAUUGUUUUGACCAUUCUUUAAAGAUAAAUUUUUAAAUUGUCAUUAAAAUGUUUUAUUAUAAAAAUUUUACAAACUUGAUUAGAAAUUUCAAGAUGAUGAUUCACAGCAGACAAAUACAAACUUUAUAUUCCAACAAUACCUACUCUUAGACUUUCAAAUAGAGCACAAUCAUGUCAGCUGUGUGAACUAAAAUUCUGAACAGUGUACUAAAUUUAUAAGUGGUGCUGGGUCUAGCAAGUGUAAAUACACAGUAUAUUUCAAUGAAAAGAAUUGUCUUCUUUAUACUUUAUUUGUUUUCCCAUAAGGAAACAUUAAUGUUUACAUUCUUUAAUAAAGUUAAUCUUACAUCAGAAUAUAACUUAAUACUGUCAGCAACAGGGACCACACACAGUAAAUAAGAAGCACAUUUAAAAUAAGUCUGAAUUCACAUAGAUUAACAUUUGUUGGUUAAUAAAAUAUUGACAGUAUUACAAUCUUACAAUAUUUACAGUAAGAAAAAUCUAGAGUAAUAUAUACCUUUCACAGCAGGAUUCCUUUUAAAAAUUUCUUCCAGUUUGGGAUUGUGUAUACACAAAAAGCUCAAAAUAAAGCAACUCUGCAAUAUAAUCUUAAAAUAAUGGCUACUAGGGGGAUAUUCUAUCACAACCAUUGAAAAUAAUGGUGACUUCUCACGGAGUCUGUGGCAUCUGAGAACCCAGUUAAUUAACCAAAGUCUUGCUCAAGCCAGCCUCAGUUACCCAGAUUAAAGCUGCAGAACUCCGGCCUUCCCUGACCGCUGAAAACCCAACUGAUUUCCUCAUCAUGCUAUAAGAAAAGAGGGAAAAUUGGUUUCAGCUCAUACCUCAUGGCUGGAAGCUUCCGGCCAGUGCACAUUCCCUAAAUUAUGCUUUAAAAAGGGCCAAUUUCAUCCCUUUGGCAUCACAAGAGUCCAUCCUCCCAUCACAGUGCAUCCUGAUACCAAGCUCACUCAUUCCUCAACCCUUGUGCAUUGAGAUAAAGCAUGAACUUGGCCCAUAUAAUACACACCAGUAUCUUAGAGACUUGGGACCGGGGGCAAAGAAACAGACUAGUGUAGUUUGCAUUGAGAUCAAUAGGAAAAAUGGGAAGUGAUGCACAUUUCCAAUUAGAAUGACAAGAAGACCCACAUCCCUAAACUGGAACUUGGCCAGGGCAUCAGAGUUAGCACCCCCUCUCUGAGUACCACAAGCAAUUCACGUGUGUGCUCUGGGCCUCCACUAAGAGAGAGCAUCUACAUUAACACAGUAUGGGACAUUAGUUCAGUGAUGACUCCCAAGAAAGCAGAUACAAUUCUUGAAACUGGGGCUGUCUACAACACCUGAGGUCAAUCAUCUGAGCUGUGACCUGUCCCAACCCUGCUCACUUUAUCUGAUGGGCACAGAGCACUCAGGGAUACGGCUGCUGGCUACUUUGGACUCUAGAUCUCACAGGUAAUCAACAGGUAUCUGGGAUUGAAUUAGCAAACUGUACCAUGGCUCCUUAAACAGACACUGUCAGGUUUGAAAUCAUGUCAAGCAUGAAUCUUCACUGUCAGGUCAGAAAUCAAAGUGGGAGUCUUCCCACAUUAGCCAAGGUUAUUUUGUCAAAACCUUAGAGGAGUUGGACAGUUUUUCAUGUUGCAAGUGAUUAGUGUACUUAUUUCAGUCAAGGUGGAUUGACAAACCAGACUGAUCUAUUUAGUUUAGUUUUUGAUUCUUACAUAUGUGCUAACCCAAAGUUGUUGUAUUUGGGUUAAAUACACUGACAGAGAAAAUUCAAACAACAAAAGUUUCAGCAAACUUCUGUGGCAUAUUCUUUUUGGAAGUCAAUGCAAGAUCUAAGGUAUUUCUACCCAACAAGGUCUGUUUAAGUGUUUAAUGUUACUUCCUUUAUGGUCCUAUACAGAAUGCUAUCACUUCUAUAUAGGUCUGAAUGCUGCUCCAUGUAGAUUCCUUCUGUAUAUCUAAAAAUAUAUACUUCUCAGUAGUUCAGUACAUGGUUAAUCUUCCCACAGAGGAAGAUUUUUGUAAUUACAUGUUUCAAAGUAGAAAAACAUCUCCUUUCUAAGAAAGGAAAUAUACUUUCCUAUUGUACACUUUUGAAUAAGCCCAAAGGCAUGCACCAAAAAUCAUUAAAACUAACACAUGCAUUAAAAUGGUGUAGAGUUAGACUUAAAGUGCUGCUUCUCAAUUUUUAAAUUUGACUAAAUUUGACAUUUUGUCAGUUGUUGACUCAAAGAUCUCCCCCCGCCCCACACCCCAUCCUGUGGCAUCAAGAAAGUAAAAACUAUGCAUAAAUCUUUAAACUAUUAUUUAUAUGGGGGAGAGAAUGGAUAUAUCAACUAUCCUAUUUAUAAACUGGAUUCCCAGUUUCAAAUAAAAUCAGUAUUUACUGGUAAAAAUUGUCAAAGCUAAUUUACCCAAACAAAUAUUUCUAGUAAAUAAUGUUCUACAUAAAGGAUAAUUUACUUUGGUUUUAUGCACCUUCUCAAAAAUAAUACUAGUGUCCCAUACGUAUAUCAGCAAACUGAUGUGUUCCAGCAGUUGUAAGGCAAAUCUUUUUUUCCCUAGUGACAUCUUGUUUCCCAACAGACAAAACUAAAAUCUUUUGGUGAGGAAGGGGUUAAGAUAAUGGCUAACCCCUUGGCAUCCUGAGCAUUGUGGUUUAUCAAACUCUACCCUGCUAGAAGCUGUCAGGCACCCUGACCCCUGCCUUGAACCAAAAAUGGCUCCCAUGUCUAAAGAUGCCCUGACUCCUUUUAAGUAGCUCUCAGAAUUUUGCUUCUUUUUUCUUUCUGUCUGGAUGUUAAAAUGUCUAACAAAGCUUGUUGCAAUGUCACAUUUUGCUAGUGGGGCCACCAUCUAAUAACUGCAAUCUGAAAUGUUUUAAGACAAUAGUUAGUUCCUAAUUUUUAUCAAAUAUUUGCAUUAGAAUGUUCUUUAUGGAGUUUACUUGGAGCAUAGAUCCUUAACUUAGGUUUCAGAAGAUGUGAUGCCCCUGAGGUUGUAUGCAAAAUUAUGUGUAUGUGCAUUUUUUUCCUGGGGACAGGGUCCAUCACUUUUGUCAGAUUAUCAAAGGUAUCUGUGAUUCCCCCAAAAAGGAUCACGGGACUUAAGAGGGAUACCCGUAAUUCAUUUUAUACCAUGAUUGGGAACUGGGAGCACAAAAUGAAAAAGAACCUCCAAAAAGGGUUGAGGGAGGCAAAUGUUGAUCAUUUAUUCACACUUGGGAAAUAAUUACUUUAAACUAGGAAAAAGAACUAAUUAAGCUGGUUAAACUCCAUUUAAAAAUAAAGCCACUUUAAAAAAUUUUUUCAUUUUCCGUAUGUGGUAAAUUUAGUCUCCAAGAAAAAGUUUGGGGAUUGAAUUUCCCUCUUUUCCUAAAGAAAAAUGAUAGAUAUAAUGCUGAACAUCACCCACGUUUAAAGACCUAACAACAUAAAACUUAGGUAACUCUAAUGAUGUAAGCCUUUAACUUGUGAUUUGUAUAGGAUUAUGUAGAGUCAAAUCCACAUCUAUUAACCUCUAUUCCCCCAGACUGGUUUAUAGUUAGACAACUACAAUUCCACUAGAUAAACUUAAAAUCUAGACAGUGGAAGUUGUCUUAUAGUCAAAUUAAAAACAAAGCCACGGGUUCCACAACAGAAUCUGGCCACAAACAUUCACACCAUGUUAUAGAGGACAUUCUCAUUUCAAAUACACCAUCAAAUUUUCAACAGAAUUUUCAAAUACCAGAUCCAGAAUGACUAGCAAAACAUGCUGAGAGGAGCACGUCAAGAAUUAAAACACUACCAUCCCUUCUCCCCAGAAACACAUUCGGGCAUUCUGAAAAUAAGCAAGAUCUGAAAAAGGCCGCUUACUUGUUAGUUUUAAGUAUGUAAAAAUUAUGGGAAAGGGAAUAUAAAAUGAAACAAUGAAAUAACUUAUAAAAAACAAUUUCAGCCAAAAACACAUCUCUCUGUUCUAUUGACAAAACUGUCAAAUCUCUUUUUUGCAAUUAUAAACACUGUGUUACACAAUCUCACUAAGACAAAAAAAUAUGCUUACAGGUACACUUUUUGUUCUUUCCUUUUAGAGAACACCUCUGAGGUUAUAAGACUGCCUCUGGUUAAAAUAAAGUCUCUUAUCCCUUGCUGCACCCUUCCUCAAAAAAUGAGUCAAUUCUGAAUUCCAAAAAGGAAUAGUCAUUUAAGCAAUUCUUUCAAUACCAGUUAUAUCAUAUAGACCAUGAGGAAACUAUAUGAACAUCAUGGAAAACUACAUGAAAGAGGCAGAUGCCACUGCCACCCACUUCACUUCCAGUUUUUUAAGCAUGUACCCAGUAAGACUCAGAUCUCAUUGACUAAAGUGGAAACAAACCAACACUCCAAAACCAGGCUAUCUGAGGCUGGAAGCUAGAUCUCAAAGCUAUAUCUAUCCUAAGCUUUUACUUUAUUUAAAACGUUUAAUAAAGCUCACAUUUACAAAGAAUUUUAUUGGCAAAUC